rnacentral:rRNA from 1 species
GAUGAACGCUAGCUACAGGCUUAACACAUGCAAGUCGAGGGGUAACGAGAGGAAAGCUUGCUUUCCUUGUCGACGACCGGCGCACGGGUGAGUAACGCGUAUCCAACCUGCCCCCAACUAGGGAAUAACCUUGCGAAAGUAAGACUAAUACCCUAUAAUUUCCUCCGAUGUCAUCUGACGAGGAAUAAAGAUUUAUCGGUUGUGGAUGGGGAUGCGUCUGAUUAGCUUGUUGGCGGGGUAACGGCCCACCAAGGCAACGAUCAGUAGGGGUUCUGAGAGGAAGGUCCCCCACAUUGGAACUGAGACACGGUCCAAACUCCUACGGGAGGCAGCAGUGAGGAAUAUUGGUCAAUGGGCGGAAGCCUGAACCAGCCAAGUAGCGUGCAGGAUGACGGCCCUAUGGGUUGUAAACUGCUUUUAUACAGGAAUAAAGUUAGCCACGUGUGGUUAUUUGUAGGUACUGUAUGAAUAAGGACCGGCUAAUUCCGUGCCAGCCGCCGCCGUAAUAC